rnacentral:rRNA from 1 species
AUCUCCGCCUUUAGAGGUAAGACCCGUGGAAGACUACCACGUAGAUAGGUCAGAGGUGGAAGCGCAGUAAUGUGUGAAGCUGACUGAUACUAAUCGGUCGAACGCUUGACCAA